GCUGCCUGUUUUUGCUGAGUGGUCUUCACAAAUCUGAGCAGAUUGAUGAGAGCAGCAGGUGUCACUCCUGGAAUACGACUCGCAGCCCCAAUCUAAGAAUUGAAACCACAAGAGAAACAUGAAGAUACAAGGAGAAAAAACUUCUGCUGAAAGUUGUCACACCUGGAUGUGACACCUGGAACUACAACAGCCAUUUUGCAAUCAUCAGGACAGCUAGCUUGAAGAUGAUCCAAGAGCGUCAUAAUGGAGAUAUGGAAGGAAUCUGAAUUCUUGGAUGUUGUGGGCUGCUGAAUUAACCAACUUUAGAGCUUAUCUACUUGCAGACUUCUUGUUAGGUAAUAAAUUCUCCUUUUUGUUUAAACUCA